rnacentral:rRNA from 1 species
UGGUCUGUCUAGCAAGCUUAAGCCGUUAGGUGUAGGCGCAGCGAAAGCGAGUCUUAAAUGGGCGACAUAGUUAGACGGAUCAGACCCGAAACCGAGUGAUCUAGGCAUGAGCAGGAUGAAGGUACGGUAACACGUACUGGAGGUCCGAACCCACACCUGUUGAAAAAGGUCGGGAUGACUUGUGCCUAGGGGUGAAAGGCCAAUCAAACUCGGAGAUAGCUGG